rnacentral:rRNA from 1 species
CGGACGGGGUGAGUAAUGUCUGGGAAACUGCCCGAUGGAGGGGGAUAACUACUGGAAACGGUAGCUAAUACCGCAUAACGUCGCAAGACCAAAGAGGGGGACCUUAGGGCCUCUUGCCAUCGGAUGUGCCCAGAUGGGAUUAGCUAGUAGGUGGGGUAAUGGCUCACCCAGGCGACGAUCCCUAGCUGGUCUGAGAGGAUGACCAGCCACACUGGAACUGAGACACGGUCCAG